rnacentral:pre_miRNA from 1 species
GAUCUACUCCCUCUGUUCGGAAUUACUUGUCAUAGAAAUGGAUGUAUCUAGAUGUAUUUUAGUUCUAGAUACAUCCAUUUCCGAGACAAGUAAUUCCGAACGGAGGGAGUACAUG